rfam:Brachypodium distachyon strain Bd21 chromosome 3, whole genome shotgun sequence.
AUAAUACUUUCUCUGUCUAACAAAGGAUGUCUCCACUUUGACUAAAUUUGAAUGCAUUUAUACACUAAGCCAUGACUGGAUACAUCUAAUUUUUGACAAACUUGAGACAUCUUUUGUUGGACAGAGGGAGUAAGAA